AAUUGGAGGGCAAGUCUGGUGCCAGCAGCCGCGGUAAUUCCAGCUCCAAUAGCGUAUAUUAAAGUUGUUGCAGUUAAAAAGCUCGUAGUUGAAUUUCGGGAUUAAUAUUUCGGUCAUGCCGUUGGUAUGCACUGUUAUCAUUGAUUUCUCACCUUCUAAAGAACCGUAAUGCCAUUAAUUUGGUGUUACGGGGAAUUAGGACUGUUACCUUGAAAAAAUUAGAGUGUUUAAAGCAGGCUCACGCUUGAAUACAUUAGCAUGGAAUAAUGAAAUAGGACAUCCGAUUCUAUUUUGUUGGUUUCUAGGAUCGAUGUAAUGAUUAAUAGGGAUAGUUGGGGGCAUUAGUAUUCAAUUGUCAGAGGUGAAAUUCUUGGAUUUAUUGAAGACUAACUACUGCGAAAGCAUUUGCCAAGGAUGUUUUCAUUAAUCAAGAACGAAAGUUAGGGGAUCGAAGACGAUCAGAUACCGUCGUAGUCUUAACCAUAAACUAUGCCGACUAGGGAUCGGAUGAUGUUAAUUUUUUAAUGACUCAUUCGGCGCCUUACGGGAAACCAAAGUGU
rnacentral:rRNA from 1 species